UAGGGAAUCUUCGGUAAUGGACGAAAGUCUGACCGAGCAACGCCGCGUGAGUGAAGAAGGUUUUCGGAUCGUAAAACUCUGUUGGUAGAGAAGAACGUUGGUGAGAGUGGAAAGCUCAUCAAGUGACGGUAACUACCCAGAAAGGGACGGCUAACUACGUGCCA
rnacentral:rRNA from 1 species